AACGUAGGAGGCGAGCGUUAUCCGGAGUUACUGGGCGUAAAGCGCGUGUAGGUGGCUUGUUACGUCUGCUGUGAAAGCGCCCGGCUUAACCGGGACGAUGCGGUAGAUACGGGCAAGCUUGAGGGUGACAGAGGAGCGUAGAAUUCCGGGUGUAGUGGUGAAAUGCGUAGAGAGCCGGAGGAAUACCAGUGGCGCAAGCGGCGCUCUGGGUCGAGCCUGACACUGAGAC
rnacentral:rRNA from 1 species